rnacentral:lncRNA from 1 species
CAGCUUUGUAACAAAUUAGUGCAACUUACUGUCUUAUUUAGUUUACUGCAUUUAUCAAGUCAAAAUAAUUGCUAGGUGAGGUUUGUUCACCUUAUAAAGUGGCCCAGAAGUUAGUAAUUUUAGGAGUAAGUUGGGUGGAAUAAAACGUUAAAUUUAGGAGUUAUAUUUGUAGUAGGAGUCUAUAUAUACAGAGUAAAGUUGCUCUGUUUUCUCUUGUAAUUUCAGUCGCCAUAUUUUCUAUUCAAAAAAAAGCUUUUGGCUGUUUUAUUUUCCUUCACUGUUCUUGUUCUAUGACUUCUCCUGCUCUAUACUUUUGUUAUAUAGUAUCAAAGCCAGGUUGAAGGGAGGAAUUCUUUUUUCUUUUCUAUCUUCUUGUCUAUCAGUUUACUCUGUUGGAG